UACGUAGGGUGCGAGCGUUAAUCGGAAUUACUGGGCGUAAAGCGUGCGCAGGCGGUUUUUGUAAGACAGAGGUGAAAUCCCCGGGCUUAACCUGGGAACUGCCUUUGUGACUGCAAGGCUUGAGUGCGGCAGAGGGGGAUGGAAUUCCGCGUGUAGCAGUGAAAUGCGUAGAUAUGCGGAGGAACACCGAUGGCGAAGGCAAUCCCCUGGGCCUGCACUGACGCUCAUGCACGAAAGCGUGGGGAGCAAACAGG
rnacentral:rRNA from 1 species